rnacentral:tRNA from 1 species
CGCGUCGCAUAGCGGCAAUUGCAUCAGACUGUAAAUCUGACGACCUUAGGUCUACGUAGGUUCGAGUCCUACCGCGCCCA